rnacentral:rRNA from 1 species
AUUGAACGCUGGCGGCAGGCCUAACACAUGCAAGUCGAGCGAGCGGCGGACGGGUGGGUAAUGUAUGGGGACUGCCCGAUAGAGGGGGAUAACUACUGGAAACGGUAGCUAAUACCGCAUACUAUCGGAUAACCCAUAUGGGAUUAGCUAGUAGGUGAGGUAAUAGCCAACCUAGGCGACGAUCCCUAGCUGGUCUGAGAGGAUGACCAGCCAAACUGGACCUGAGAAACGGCCCAGACGCCUACGGAGGCAGCAGUGGGGAAUAUUGCACAAUGGGCGCAAGCCUGAUGCAGCCAUGCCGCGUGUAUGAAGAAGGCACUAGGGUUGUAAAGUACUUUCAGUCGGGAGGCGUUACCGACAGAAGAAGCACCGGCUAACUCCGUGCCAGCAGCCGCGAUAAUAC